AUAGACAGAAUGAACUAGAGGGGAGAAAGAGAUAUAGGAUGGUGGCAGGAAAGACGGAAGGAGACGAGAAACUACAACUUGACUACUCCGGAGAAAGCCAUUGUUCUCUCUUAAAAACAACAGCCUGAAAUACUGCACCGGUGCGAAGCCCUGUCCCAGCAUUAACGUGAAAAAUCUCCUAAGAGACUAAGAUAAAAUUUAAGUUGACGAGAGGAAAGGAAAGAAGAAGAAGAAGAAGAGUGAAGAUAAUAACGACCAAAAACUUACAACUCCUCCCUCUGACGUUGAGACAGCACCAUUUUCAUGAUCCUUAGAUUGUUUGUUGCCUCUUACUGGAUUUUUCGAUAAUAAUUCGAUUGAGCACGACUAGAUUCUCCAGUCAGCUCUCGUUUUGUUCAAUACCCUGCCUUCAGCAUUGCCUGUAAUACAGAACAAAUAAAUUGAUUAAUGCAACGUUCAAAUAAUUGAAUAAAAAGGAAUAAUUUGAAGAUAAAAAUAUUAUUUAUAUAUAUACGGAUGAUACUGUUUACUUCUCUUCGACAAAGUCAAGAGAGAAGAAAAAACUUGGGAGAAAUAUAAGUUGGUCUCGUUUGGAAAUAUGUAUAUUCCGGUCAAUGUAAAAAGAAAGUACUAGUUAUCGCGUCAUCGGCAUGAACAACGAUCGAUUUAAAUGAGGUCGAAAUACUUUUCUUCGCGGAAGGUACGAAGAAGGUACGAAAGUGAAAGGGGGCGGUUAAUAAAUGGAGUAACGACCACAUAAGAAGGUUCGUAAAAGAGAACAAAAAAGAAGAGAUCAUGUUGUUCUAAGCCAUGUCCAAAAGCGUAAGAUAUCAUCAAGAGGCCAACGUUAAUCGUAUCGAUAUACAUAAAUAUUUACAUAAUUAUUUGCAAAUAAAGUCGCGCCAUUGAAAAUAAUACUUAAAAGUUCGAUAUAUGUAUUGUAGUUAUGCGAAAGCAUUUAGGUUAACUACUUUGUGCAUUUAUUACCAAUAUUAACUCAUGACAUUGGAAUUCCUUUGAUAAACCGGACAGAUCGGAUGAAUUAUAAUAUCGUUUCGCAAUGACCACUUUGUCCCUGUCCCGUAAGCAAAUGAAUAAAAAAAGAAAUAGAAAUACGGAAA
rnacentral:lncRNA from 1 species